UACGUAGGGCGCAAGCGUUUAUCCGGAAUUAUUGGGCGUAAAGAGCUCGUAGGCGGUUUGUCGCGUCUGCCGUGAAAGUCCGGGGCUCAACUCCGGAUCUGCGGUGGGUACGGGGCAGACUAGAGUGAUGUAGGGGAGACUGGAAUUCCUGGUGUAGCGGUGAAAUGCGCAGAUAUCAGGAGGAACACCGAUGGCGAAGGCAGGUCUCUGGGCAUUAACUGACGCUGAGGAGCGAAAGCAUGGGGAGCGAACAGG
rnacentral:rRNA from 1 species